rnacentral:tRNA from 1 species
UGGGAGAUCGUCUAAUGGUAGGACAAAGGUUUUUGGUAUCUUGAAUUGGGGUUCGAAUCCCUGUCUCCCAGCCA